GUAAAACCACGUGAUUUAAACUGCCAUUUAAACUGCGACGACUCUGGUACAGGCCGGAGUGGAUUUUGAAGCAAACUGGUCAUCUGGUGUAGGUGUACAAGAGAGUAAAUGAGGAACAAAUGAAGAUGGUCAGCAGCAUUGUCACCAGUAAGAAGCCAAAAACCGAGGAAGUACGAUGCAAAGCGGAACACAAGGAUCAACUCCAGAAGAUGAUUCAAGUGACCCUGAGGAGAAUGGAAAAGGGGGAAGAGGUCCCGCCGGUUCCAAUUUAUUAACUGCAGUGUGCAGAUAUUGUAAAUAAAUCAAUCAUUUUGAAUG
rnacentral:lncRNA from 1 species